rnacentral:rRNA from 1 species
UAGUAACGGCGAGUGAAGCGGCAACAGCUCAAAUUUGAAAUCUGGCCUCACGGUCCGAGUUGUAAUUUGUAGAGGAUGUUUUUGGUGCAGUACCUUUCGAGUUCCCUGGAACGGGACGCCUUAGAGGGUGAGAGCCCCGUACGAUUGGAUGCUUAGCCUAUGUAAAACUCCUUCGACGAGUCGAGUAGUUUGGGAAUGCUGCUCUAAAUGGGAGGUAAAUUUCUUCUAAAGCUAAAUACCGGCCAGAGACCGAUAGCGCACAAGUAGAGUGAUCGAAAGAUGAAAAGCACUUUGAAAAGAGGGUUAAACAGCACGUGAAAUUGUUAAAAGGGAAGGGCUUGUGACCAGACUUUUUCCUUGCGGAUCAUCCGGUGUUUUCACCGGUGCACUUCGCUUGGUAGAGGCCAGCAUCGGUUUUCAUAGAGGGAUAAAAGCUUUAGGAAUGUGACUCCCCCGGGAGUGUUAUAGCCUAUUGUAUAAUACCUUUACGGAGACCGAGGUACGCAUUUUUGUGGAUGCUGGCGUAAUGGUUAUCAGCCACCCGUCUUGAAACACGGACCAAGGAGUCGAACAUUUGUGCGAGUGUUUGGGUGUUAAACCCUCACGCGUAAUGAAAGUGAACGGAGGUGAGAGCCUUAGGGUGCAUCAUCGACCGAUCCUGAAGUCUUCGGAUGGAUUUGAGUAAGAGCAUAACUGUUCGGACCCGAAAGAUGGUGAACUAUGCGUGGAUAGGGUGAAGCCAGAGGAAACUCUGGUGGAGGCUCGCAGCGGUUCUGACGUGCAAAUCGAUCGUCAAAUCUGCGCAUGGGGGCG